UAGGAAGGUUCCAAAGAGAAGAGAGAGA
rnacentral:piRNA from 1 species